rnacentral:rRNA from 1 species
GAUGAACGCUGGCGGCGUGCCUAAUACAUGCAAGUCGAGCGAACGGACGAGAAGCUUGCUUCUCUGAUGUUAGCGGCGGACGGGUGAGUAACACGUGGAUAACCUACCUAUAAGACUGGGAUAACUUCGGGAAACCGGAGCUAAUACCGGAUAGUAUUUUGAACCGCAUGGUUCAAAAGUGAAAGACGGUCUUGCUGUCACUUAUAGAUGGAUCCGCGCUGCAUUAGCUAGUUGGUAAGGUAACGGCUUACCAAGGCAACGAUGCAUAGCCGACCUGAGAGGGUGAUCGGCCACACUGGAACUGAGACACGGUCCAGACUCCUACGGGAGGCAGCAGUAGGGAAUCUUCCGCAAUGGGCGAAAGCCUGACGGAGCAACGCCGCGUGAGUGAUGAAGGUCUUCGGAUCGUAAAACUCUGUUAUUAGGGAAGAACAUAUGUGUAAGUAACUGUGCACAUCUUGACGGUACCUAAUCAGAAAGCCACGGCUAACUACGUGCCAGCAGCCGCGGUAAUACGUAGGUGGCAAGCGUUAUCCGGAAUUAUUGGGCGUAAAGCGCGCGUAGGCGGUUUUUUAAGUCUGAUGUGAAAGCCCACGGCUCAACCGUGGAGGGUCAUUGGAAACUGGAAAACUUGAGUGCAGAAGAGGAAAGUGGAAUUCCAUGUGUAGCGGUGAAAUGCGCAGAGAUAUGGAGGAACACCAGUGGCGAAGGCGACUUUCUGGUCUGUAACUGACGCUGAUGUGCGAAAGCGUGGGGAUCAAACAGGAUUAGAUACCCUGGUAGUCCACGCCGUAAACGAUGAGUGCUAAGUGUUAGGGGGUUUCCGCCCCUUAGUGCUGCAGCUAACGCAUUAAGCACUCCGCCUGGGGAGUACGACCGCAAGGUUGAAACUCAAAGGAAUUGACGGGGACCCGCACAAGCGGUGGAGCAUGUGGCUUAAUUCGAAGCAACGCGAAGAACCUUACCAAAUCUUGACAUCCUUUGACAACUCUAGAGAUAGAGCCUUCCCCUUCGGGGGACAAAGUGACAGGUGGUGCAUGGUUGUCGUCAGCUCGUGUCGUGAGAUGUUGGGUUAAGUCCCGCAACGAGCGCAACCCUUAAGCUUAGUUGCCAUCAUUAAGUUGGGCACUCUAAGUUGACUGCCGGUGACAAACCGGAGGAAGGUGGGGAUGACGUCAAAUCAUCAUGCCCCUUAUGAUUUGGGCUACACACGUGCUACAAUGGACAAUACAAAGGGCAGCGAAACCGCGAGGUCAAGCAAAUCCCAUAAAGUUGUUCUCAGUUCGGAUUGUAGUCUGCAACUCGACUACAUGAAGCUGGAAUCGCUAGUAAUCGUAGAUCAGCAUGCUACGGUGAAUACGUUCCCGGGUCU